AUGUUCGAUGGAAUGGCCGAGCGGGACGUGGUCUCCUGGACAGCUCUCAUGUCCGGGUACUCUGGCGCCGGCCGACCCCGCCUCCGCCUGGCUGUUUCCCUCUUCCAUGAUAUGUGUCACAGAGGUGUGCCACCAAAUGCCUUCACCUUCUCGACUGCCGUCAGCGCGCGCGCACGCCUUGCUGAUGCUGGACUUGGCCGGAAAGUGCAUGCCCGUGCUGAGGUUGAACGCUACGCGUCUGACACUGUCGUUGCCACCGUGCUCAUCGACAUGUAUGGCAAGGCUGGAAAUGUGAAGAGUGCACGUGCAGUGUUUGAUGGUAUGGCUGCUCUGGCGAGGAAUGCGGUGUCACGGGGCUCGAUGCUGUCUGUAUAUGCACAGAAUGUGCUUGGGUGUGAGGCCAUCCAAUUUUUUGCCGAGUUCAGAACUGAAAGCAAUUUCAUGGCGCCCAACUACUUCAUGCUGUCAAGUGUUGUGAAUGCGUGUGCAGGCAUUGGGCGGCUUGGGGUUGGCAAGUCUGCACGGAACAGUAAACCAGCCAAGAUGCACAACAAACAAUAUCAACUGCUGCUGGCUGCUCCGCACGCAGGUAGGAGCAAACUUAAUUACACAACCAAGCGGCGUACUAUCGGUCCUAAAUUCUCGUUCGUGAGCACAUUCCCAGUGGAGCUCCAAAAUCUGCAGCUUAACAUUCAGAUGGCCCCUUCCAUUGAAGUUAAUUCAAGUCUGCAGGUUAUCCUCUUCUUCUUCGCAGGGAUCCGCCGCUACAGCAUCUCGUCUGUUCUCAAGGCCCUCCUCUGGCUGGUGUAUCUGUCUGCCGAUGUCGUUGCAACGUACGCCCUGGGGAACAUGUCCUCGUCGUUGACGAAAAAAUCGUCCGGCGAGCACCAGCUGGUGGCGUUCUGGGCGCCAUUCCUCCUGCUGCACCUUGGUGGCCAGGAUACCAUCACCGCUUACGCCCUGGAGGACAAUGAACUCUGGCGGCGCCAUCUGUUAAAUAUGUUUCUGCAGGUCGCCGGCACCGCGUAUGUGCUCUACAAGUACAUCAUUGCAGGCGGGGCGACCUUUAUCCCCGCCGCUAUGUUGGUUUUGGCCACCGGAUUUAUCAAGUACGGCGAGAGGAUAUGGGCACUGAAGUGUGCAAGCAAGGGUUCCAAAGGGCCAAGUGGCUCUGUUCUCUUUGCCGGAAAGAAGAAAGAAAGUUCUGUUAUCUUUGCCGGAAAGAAGAAAGAAAGCUCUGUCCUCUUUGCCAUAAAGAAAAAAAUAAGCCGUGUCCUGAAGUACAUAUUUUUUUGUUUUAUUACCAUGCCUGGGCAAGACACGGAAAUGAACCUUGGAGAUUUUGAAGGGCCCAUGCAAUCAGUUGAUGAAACAAUAGUAGAUUGCUUCACCAAACACAAACAGUUUAGAAUUUAUGCAUUUAUUGUGAUGGCAGCACAUGCGUUGCGCUAUGCACUUGUCAAGCCUUUAAUCAUUGACAGGAAUGAGGCAUUCAUAGAUUGGAGUGGUACCACAAUUGGACUACUAAAGGGCCAUGCGGAAGAAUAUCCACGGGAGCUGUACAAGGCAAUAGAGGUGGAGCUAGCCCUUAUGUAUGACAUGCUGUAUACCAAGGCACAAGUGAUCCACACAUGGUAUGGCUACUGCAUCCGUGCUAUUUCCCUUGUGUCUUGCUUCACCGCUCUUGUGUUCUUCACAAAAGGCAAAAGUGAUGGUUACAGCACACCCGAUAUUGUAAUCACUUUUGCUCUACUGGGCGGAGCUUGUGCACUGGAGGUUGCAUCUGUUUUCAAGGCGAUUGGAUCGACCUGGACAUAUGCCACCUUGAAAGGGUACGGAUGGAAGUGGCUGGCCAAUGCGAUUCUGUUUGCACGCUACCAUCUCCUCGUCGUCAAGGAUGGAAGGUGGUCCAAUUCUGUCGGGCAGUAUAACUUCAUAUCCUUCUGUGCCAGGGAUGAGACCGAGCUCAGGGGAAGAAUAGCCAAAUGGAUUAGGCUUCGGGAAUUGUGGAACAAAGCUCACUACACCAAACAUGCCAAGCUUUCACCUGCCGUCAAGGAGUUUGUAUGGGACUUGCUCAGAGGUGCAAAGUCUGAUAUGGUACAAAUUGAAGAUGUGGCCAUCCGGAAUGGGUACUGGGCUCGCAGGUUAACGGGCUUCCAACAGCUCAAUUGGAGCCUGAGUUUUGAAUUUCAGAAGAGCGUGCUUAUUUGGCAUUUAGCAACAAGCACCUUCCUCAAUGUCCCUGCCGUUAAAUCUCAACUGGCCAACGAGGAUGAGGAAAUGGCUAAAGCAGUCAAUACUCUCUCCGAGUACAUGAUGUACCUCCUCAUCGAGCACCCUGAUAUUCUGCCCAUGAAAGCAGCUGUCCGAAACCUGUUUCGCCUAACCUCCACCUCUUAUGCUGAGGAUUUUUCUGGAGAUAAUGUGGGUACGCCUCACCAGAUAAUUAUGGAUUACAUGAAACGACGUGUUGGGUAUAUACGAGAACUAUAUGAUGAUUUGACGCAAGACAGAUGGGAUGCUUACCCGGGCGAAGCUGUGCUGGUGAAAGCAUGCAGCCUUGCUCACACAAUGCUCCGCAUGGAGUUGGAGCUCACACAUAAGCUGGUAAUACUCGGAACAGUGUGGGUGGAGAUGUUGUGCUACGCAGCAACCAAUGCAACUGGGGGAUUCCACGCCAGGCAGCUGAGCAAUGGUGGCGAGUUUCUCACCCACAUCCUGCUCCUCACCAAAUAUUGUGCUGCUAUGCCCAACAUAGCAAAUCCGUAUGUCAGAGCAGCUGACGAAACUGUGGAGUAUAGAUCUGACGAGAUCCAGGUAUGGUGA
rnacentral:rRNA from 1 species